AGCCGGCCUGAGAGGGCGACCGGCCACACUGGGACUGAGACACGGCCCAGACUCCUACGGGAGGCAGCAGUGGGGAAUAUUGCACAAUGGGCGGAAGCCUGAUGCAGCGACGCCGCGUGAGGGAUGACGGCCUUCGGGUUGUAAACCUCUUUCAGCAGGGACGAAGCGUAAGUGACGGUACCUGCAGAAGAAGCGCCGGCCAACUACGUGCCAGCAGCCGCGGUAAGACGUAGGGCGCGAGCGUUGUCCGGAUUUAUUGGGCGUAAAGAGCUCGUAGGCGGCUUGUCGCGUCGACCGUGAAAACCUGGGGCUCAACCCCAGGCCUGCGGUCGAUACGGGCAGGCUAGAGUUCGGUAGGGGAGACUGGAAUUCCUGGUGUAGCGGUGAAAUGCGCAGAUAUCAGGAGGAACACCGGUGGCGAAGGCGGGUCUCUGGGCCGAUACUGACGCUGAGGAGCGAAAGCGUGGGGAGCGAACAGGAUUAGAUACCCUGGUAGUCCACGCUGUAAACGUUGGGCGCUAGGUGUGGGGGGCCUCUCCGGUUCCCUGUGCCGCAGCUAACGCAUUAAGCGCCCCGCCUGGGGAGUACGG
rnacentral:rRNA from 1 species